UUACAAAUAAUAUUUUCAUACGGUGAUUUACAUUUCGAUUUUGAUCAUCGGCCAUUUUUAAUAAACGUUUACUUUUGUCGAUUCAACAAUAAUUCCCUAUAAAUUCGGGUGCAUUUUUGAGGUGAUUCCACAGUUUAGUAAAGAAUUUCACAGCACCUUGUGUUCCAAUUGUCGACCAUUGCAUCGUGAAUACAACAUUUUCGAACGCGUUUUUGUCAUUUUGCAGUGAAUGUGACAGUGUUGUUGAUUUAAUUUUCAUUACAAUGAAGAGGAGACGUGCAAAAAUAAAUUCAGCCUUUAAGAAAAAUACGGCAAAAUUGAACGACAAUGAAGAGUUGCGAUCGAUAAAACUGUCAGCGCCUUCGGUAUUCAAGUCUGAAUAUUCGGAAGCGCUAAC